GCCCGAGUGGCUUAAUUGGUUAAGCAUCCGACUUCGGCUCAGGUCACGAUCUCACGGUCCGUGAGUUCAAGCCCCACGUCAGGCU
rnacentral:tRNA from 1 species